rnacentral:rRNA from 1 species
UACGUAGGCAGCAAGCGUUGUUCGGAGUUACUGGGCGUAAAGAGUGCGUAGGCGGUUCCGUAAGUUUGGUGUGAAAUCUCCCGGCUCAACUGGGAGGGUGCGCCGAAGACUGCGGUGCUUGAGUGUGGGAAAGGUAGGCGGAAUUCCUGGUGUAGCGGUGAAAUGCGUAGAUAUCAGGAGGAACACCUGCGGUGUAGACGGCUUACUGGACGGUAACUGACGCUGAGGCACGAAAGCGUGGGUAGCAAACAGG